rnacentral:rRNA from 1 species
AUGGGAGGUCCAGCCUGCCCAAGGAUACAUUGAAUGGCCGCGGUACUCUUACCGUGCGAAGGUAGCAUAAUCACUUGUUCAUUAAAUGUGGACUAGUAUGAACGGCAUCACGAGGGUCAUACUGUCUCCCUACUCCAAUCAGUGAAACUAUUUUUCCCGUGAAGAAACGGGAAUUAAACUAUAAGACGAGAAGACCCCAUGGAGCUUUAAACCCAGAACAUCUACCACCACCCCCCUCCCAUUCUUACCUAACUAAAGUAUUUAUGUUUUCUGGUUUUUGGUUGGGGCGACCACGGAGUAAAAAAAAUCCUCCACGAUGAACAAGCUUUACUUUUACCCAUGAAGCACACUUCUAAGGAUCCUUAAUAUGACAUUUCUUGACCCAAGCCUACUUGAUCAACGAACCUAGUUACCCUGGGGAUAACAGCGCAAUCCAUUUCAAGAGCCCAUAUCGACAAAUGGGUUUACGACCUCGAUGUUGGAUCAGGGUAUCCCAGUGGUGCACCCGCUACUAAAGGUUUGUUUGUUCAACAAUUAAUAACCCUACGUGAUCUGAGUU